UAAGAGAAUAGGCUGUGUUAAAGUGGUCAUACUAAAUAUUGACUCUUUAGAAUUAUAAAGGCUCUGUUUUUGCCUAAUAUACCAAACAGUUGCAGAGGUUUGAAGAAAUUGUUACACCUUUUUCCCAUUUCAGUAGCAAAAUAUAAGGAAUCAGUGGAUUCAAGACUUAUGCACAGUAUUGUAAUUGUUAAAAUACUUGAAAUAUAGUUGAUUGACUUUAAAAAGUAAAUUCAGCAAGUCACAUUUUAUAUUCUGCAGGAAUGCACAGCCGAGUUUCCUUUAGGGUGGGCUAUAACAUGUGUUAGCCUCCAACAGUUACGGCUGCCUCUGCAAGCUGUUUUACAACCCACCUCCCCUCAAGUGCUCUAGUUCCAACAUUUCAUGCUAUUCAAGUUAUUUCUGACUUAUUCAGUGCCAUCCCCGUUGUCACUGAUGCCUGCUCUGUUGUGAGGCGAUUCUUUUGCUGCUUUUGGGGAGCCGUGAGAACAGAGCCACACCAACAAAACUAAAUUACUGCAGUUUUGUUUUGACUGAUGUGGUACAGGCAGAAUUUCUGGUCAAAUACAGCAGUGCACUUUGAAACUUGGGCCUUCUUAUCAGUAACAACAGAAAUCAAAAUGAAGCGGGUAUAAAGCAGUGGGCAAGAGUUGCUUCCCUGCCAACCAGGUGCAUUAUUAAAACAUCUUGAGAAUCAUUACUUUAGGUGAUGAGCAUUUUCUUUAUUGUCUCCCAACAGAUGAGGUGAACAUCCUGCAGGAGCUUUCUUUUCAUAUCACAAACAGCAGUAAUGCCUCCAUGACUGUGGGUGAGAGCAAGUGUCCAGUCCUGCAGGUGGGACAGUACUCCACCUUGGCCCUCCCUCUGAGACAGAUCUUCAUCGAUGGGUUUGCAGAUGAGUUCAGUUUGCUGGUACAGUUGCGAAGUCCUCAGAAGGAAGAACGAAGUGUCUUCACUAUGCUCAGCCCCGACAAUCAUGUCAUGCUGCAGCUGCGGAUCAGUGCUCAUGCCAUCAUCUUCAUAGGAACGCAGCAGAGACACUAUGAGUUCCCGGUCAGUGGUUUGUCUGAUGGAAAGUGGCACCAUGUGGCUAUCAGUGUGGCUGCCAAGCGGCUCGCACUCUAUGUGGACUGCUCUCUGCUGGAGAGUGUGGACUGGGUUUACUACGGCAUGGGGAUCAGCACCGACGGCCUGCUCAUGGUUGGAGGAACUAUUGAGAGCUUUGAAACUCCAUUUGAAGGUCAUCUUCAACAGCUGGCCUUCCUGAUGGGAGAUCCAGAUGCUGCCCAGCAGCACUGUAGCCACCACCCACCCCUCUGCAGUGUCACUGCCCUCAAGCCUCCCCGCUUACCACGCACCAACAACCCGCUGCAGGUGAGGAAAGAUGAUUUAAAGAAACGGCAAAAGAAAUUAAAUCAGGAACAUUUUCUUUUGACUUGUAUACACAGCAGCCCUCAAACAUGUCACUGAGGUAUUUAAGGUGAAGCCAUCCAUGUCUUUUGAAGCCCACAACACAAACACGCAGGCUCCUGCAGUUAAUUCACUGACAGCAGGCACUGCUGUAUAAUUUAAUAUAAGCAAUAUGAAAGAUCACCAGAGGAUUUAAAAUAAAAACUGCACUGACUCCUGUGGUUUUGAUCCAGUCUGGUGAAUUUAACAACUCUUGAGUGUUUGGUUGUUCAUCAGUGCAGGCUUGAACAGUCUUUGAUUGUGGUUUUUUAUUUAGAAAUUGUUGCCUCUGUUUCCACACAGAAUAUACUGUUGUCCUCAAAUGACCUGGAGAACCUGCUGGGGGAUCCAAAGGACAAGUCUUUUUUGAGCUUUGGCCGAACUGUAAGUAGAAUAUUGGGUGUCUUAAGUGUUAAUUGUUAACCAGAAAUUCACUUUUAUUUCACAUGUUAGAAACAGUGAAAAAGUGCAGUUACCUGGUUUCACAGCUGUGGCUCAGUGCUGUAGUGACAGACUAUGGGCAGCUUAUAACCGGUGUAUAUAUACACCAACCACUGAUCUGGUUUACAUUUUUGGUUCUUUUUUUGCCAUUAGUGUCUGUGUCUGUGAAACCAACAGUCCAUCAGUCUGCAACAGUCUGUCAUUAAUUAGUCAUGCUGUGCUGAGCCUCAGGCGUCAGAGGCCUCAUCCAGCAGUCCCACCUUCUGUCUUUGGCUGACUGGUCCACUUCACAUUGUGUGGUUGUGUGCGCUGCAUAUGUGUGUUUAAGUGCUUGAUCUGUGAGACACUGUGUGUGUCUGCUCACUGGCCUUUGUUGUGGCCUGCAAGAGGCUUCAUUCCUUCACUGACGCUAAAAGUCUGCUUUGAUAAAUUGUAGCAAUGGCUCAUUUCUUUGAUCUUUACCAAAUGCAGUUUGGGAUUGGAUUAGUGGUUUUAUUUUGAAUAUUUAAAAUAAAGUAAUAAUCAGCACAGCUGCUUCCCAUACUAUGUGUAAUCAGCAGCCCAUCUGGAUUAAAAUCGGAGUAUUGUUUUCUGAGCAUCAGGACCGAACUGAAACUGUCAACUUUUGUGCAGAAAAACAUUACACGUGCCGAGGUGGGUGGAGCCAGGGAGCCCCAUCCAUCUUCUAUGUGCAGAGGUGAAGAAGCUUGACAGAAUAGUCACUGAUAAGAGGCAGACUAGUAAUUUGAAGUGUGAAAAAGUGAUUUCUACCUGCUGUUAAAGUAGUCACCUGAUUAUUUCCAGUAAAUUAGCUUUUGAAUGAUCUGUUGGUAUGCUGUAAAGUUUCUCUGCUGUUCAUAUAAAUAAUAUCUAAACACUAUCUCUCACAUUGUUCUGUUUCCUUACUGCUUACUGCUCAAACUAUAGGCUGUAUGUGAAAUAUUGAUAUGGUCACCAAGAAAUCCCUCACCGGUUUGUGGAUUUGCAUUUUAUGAAGCUUUGAGUUUUGAAGCUUUGAGGGGUUUUCAUUGAGGCAAUCUUGGUCUUGUUAAACUACAUCUGACAAGCAAAGUUUGGAUCUGAUGAAAUAACUGAG
rnacentral:lncRNA from 1 species